GAUAAAUAGGUCAAGAAUACUGGAAUGAUAUACAAUAUCCAAUGAUUACUAGCUGUUCUUUUGUACUAAUAAAUAGGUCAAGACUAUUUAUAUGAUCUACAAUAUCCAAUGACUACUGGCUGUUCUUUUGUACGUACUAAAUAAAGACUACCUGAAUGAUCUAAAGUAUUCUAAGUAAUGUGUAUUUUUUUUUCUUGCAAUUACAUUUGUCUAAAUUAAGAAUACAGACUACUAGUAUCCUUUCAAACCAAAUGAUUAUGAAGAGCCUGUUGUAAUAAGCUCUUAUACCCCACUAGUCCUAUAACAUAUGACUUCGCAUUCUUAUUCAAUUUUUAACGUUUUUAU
rnacentral:lncRNA from 1 species